rnacentral:rRNA from 1 species
GACGAACGCUGGCGGCGUGCUUAACACAUGCAAGUCGAACGGAAAGGCCCUGCUUUUGUGGGGUGCUCGAGUGGCGAACGGGUGAGUAACACGUGAGUAACCUGCCCUUGACUUUGGGAUAACUUCAGGAAACUGGGGCUAAUACCGGAUAGGAGCUCCUGCUGCAUGGUGGGGGUUGGAAAGUUUCGGCGGGUGGGGAUGGACUCGCGGCUUAUCAGCUUGUUGGUGGGGUAGUGGCUUACCAAGGCUUUGACGGGUAGCCGGCCUGAGAGGGUGACCGGCCACAUGGGGACUGAGAUACGGCCCAGACUCCUACGGGAGGGAGCAGUGGGGAAUAUUGCACAAUGGGCGGAAGCCUGAUGCAGCAACGCCGCGUGCGGGAUGACGGCCUUCGGGUGGUAAACCGCUUUCGCCUGUGACGAAGCGUGAGUGACGGUAAUGGGUAAAGAAGCACCGGCUAACUACGUG